AAACUGAUGUCCACAAGUGUUAGGGCCUGGAGAAGAGGGAGGGCUGUGCUAAUCCAGGCCAGUAGUCUCACCUGAGAGGAUGGGAGGCUUUAACAGGGCUGGGAUUCGAAAAAAGCUGAGCUAUGGAGGAAACCCUGCAGAGAUGGAGCAAGGAGCUCAGGUCUGACUCUUGCUCACCUGCGGUGAAUGAACAGUGCAUAGAUACAGCUUGAUGCAUCCAUCAUACAGACAUGUGACAGCUAGCAGCCUCUGAAUUUCUAGUGGCAAAGCUGCAGCAAGCCAAAGGGAUCUCUACCUGAAGUGGAGCUUCAUCUUUCUGAAUACAGGCUAUGCCUUGAGCCACAGCAGUGUGUUCUGUUGCUUCUCUCCAGGCUCUCAGGCCUGUUCUUCAGUUUGCUGGCAGAAGGGAGAAGUGGUGGAAUGCCAUGACAGGGUGCUAACUUGUACUCUCAAGCACAAGAACUGGCCUAGCUGAAGCAUUUUGAUGCAUGAGAACAACAGGAAGCAACUCUUGCCAAGCAGCUGGCUGGCAUAAGGAGGAGCUCAUGCUGGUUGGAGAACUUGGGAACAAAUAUUUGUUGUGUUAGCUCUACUGAGCUGCACGGCUGGUCCCAUGUUGGCCCCACUGCUUCCAGUUCAACAGACUGGAUCAGAGCUGCUGGCCCAAACUGAAAACUGUGUUGGAGAUAGGAUAUGCCAAAACUGUCCCACAUGGCCUAGGUGGAGAAUUAAUGAUAACAUUGAUGGUAUUUGCUCGUGGUAACUUUGUGCAAUGGGUGUGAAGAGCAGUGUGAGGUUUGUCCUGGAUGCCUGUCACCAAGAACUGCUGGUGGGACCCACCACUGGAGUGCUUUAAUAGACACCAAUUAGAGAGAACCACCAGCAUCCAUGCUCCAAUGGCUUUAGCUCCCAAAUCCUGUAGUCUGGGACAAGCUUCUAUCCCAGGCUGUGAUACAGAGGAAGCACAGGCAGAGCAGAGGGUCUGACCAUGAGACUUUAGUAACACACUGCUGCUUCCAUCUCCUGUGAUCUGUGCCUUCGGAGCUGGAAGCCUUGAAUGUAAACAUGAGUAUAUCAGCUGAUCCUUCUCAGAGCAUUGUUUGUUUGGGGUCAACUUAUCUCCUUUUCAAGAACAGGAUGUUUAAGGGAAAAUUUAUAUAUAUAUAUAUAUAUAUAUAAAACAUAUCCAUAAUGGUCUUAAUUGUAAGUCAGCUUUUAUACUUUCAGAUUGGAACCUAAUUAAUCAUUGGCUGUACAGGGAACUGAUUCAUUGCUUUGUUGCUCUUUAUUCGUAUAAAUCUUUGAUUUAGUGAUUACUACUUUUUGAUUUAUCACUUACUACGCAAGUAAUCAAUAUUUGUGAUGAAUGGAUAAAUUUAAGUACCACCCACUUUGUAAUAUUAUUUUAUAUAGAAUAUGGUCUGUAAGAUGCAUAUUUCCAGUCUGAAUGAUUAGAAAUAGACAUUGAAAAUAUAAUGUGCAUCUCU
rnacentral:lncRNA from 1 species